AUGAGAUGUUUUGUAAGUACACUUCUACCUUGAUAUAAUGCCAUCCAACAUAACAUGAAUUUGGACAUAACGUGGUAAAGCAGUGCUCCGGAGGGAUGGGGCUGCACACUCCGGUGGAUCGAAGAAAGUUCAAUAUAACAAGG